rnacentral:tmRNA from 1 species
GGGGCCGAACAUGGCUUCGACGGGGAUUUUGAAUCAACAUAAGCGAGUCGUUUUUUGAGACAAAACGUUAAACAGCUCAAAACAAAAUAAAUAACAACAAUAAUAAUUUAGCAUUUGCAGCGUAAAUAGCUGCAUUCGCCAUCUAGGUAACCCAUAGGCCUAGCUCUUGGCGUCAAUUAUAUGGGAAACGAAUCUUUCUAACUUGUCAUAGGAAAGAGGGUAUUUAUGGCAAUAUAGUAGGACGGUCUUGUCUAUUAGACUUUCCUAUUGAAUAAAAAACAAAUAGACUGGACUCGGAGAAAGUGUUGUGGAUGGGUUUUCGGACGUGGGUUCGACUCCCACCGGCUCCACCA